CCCAACCUUCACUGUAAUAUUGCCUGUUCUGUUCUUGUUUCAGAGCCCCUACUGGAGGAAAACAUGGAACAAAUCCCUGCUCUUUUGCCCUUUCUGGAGACUAAUAUUGAAAAGGUUCCUGCUAUGGAGGAUCUGAAUGAUGAGGGAAACACCUUUGAACAGAACCCACCUCUUGGCAA